GCGCUUGUAGCUCAGCUGGAUAGAGUACCUGGCUACGAACCAGGCGGUCAGAGGUUCGAAUCCUCUCAAGCGCGCCA
rnacentral:tRNA from 1 species